CUUUGACGCUCCUCCAAACCAGGGUAUUUACUAUAGUCCAUAAUAUGUGGCCUAUCAGUGUGAUAGUCAGCAGCCAUCUCACAGAAGUGGUUUGCUAUAUCAAAGGCAAAGGGAUUGUAACUUGCAUAUUCAUAAUCUAUUAUGGUAAUUGCUUUUGUCUCUUCAUCGAUCAUUAUGUUACCAUAUUGUAAAUCAUUAUGACAGAAGCCAAUUCUUUGAUCUCCAGAGAGCUCCUUUUCCAAUAAGGAGAUUUCCUGCUCCAUGGCAUCCAAUCGAACAGCUCUAGCUUCUUCAGGAGGACACAUACUCUUAGCUGUUUUCAGCCAAUUCCGCAACCUAUCCCACAGGCACACAUUCUUUGGACCAGGCAUCUGAAGACCAUGGAACUCCUUCAAUUUAGCUGCUAUGAGAGCAGAUACAUCAGGAUCACGCAAAUCAGAUGCUGACAGAGUCCUUGCAUGAAUGAACUCUUCAAUUCGCCCAUUUGAGAACCGGCCCAGUAGACGAGGACCCUGCCCUUGUUUAGACAUGAACUCAAAUGUCCGGAUCUCAUCAUUCCUGUCAAAGAAGACCUCCACACCAUCACCAUAAAUCCUUACCAGAACCUUAUGUGAGCCUUGUUCCGUCUUUGUUGGCCACUUGAUUUGAAAGACCUGAUUGGUCAUCGCCCCCUUAAGAGGGAUCACCUGCAAUGCAUUUGCAUCAAGCACAUCCUCCCACUUGGACGCCAAUGACUUCAAGGCUUCCUUAACCUCUCCUGGUAUACAAUCUUCUUUGUUCUUCACCACCGGACUUUCCAUAGCACCCAUGAAAGGAAAAGAAAAAUACCCACCAAUACUCACUAGAUAAAACU
rnacentral:misc_RNA from 1 species